AACGAACGCUGGCGGCAUGCCUAACACAUGCAAGUCGAACGAGACCUUCGGGUCUAGUGGCGCACGGGUGCGUAACGCGUGGUAACCUGCCCUUAGGUUCGGAAUAACUCCCCGAAAGGGGUGCUAAUACCGGAUAAUGUCUUCGGACCAAAGAUUUAUCGCCUUUGGAUGGGCCCGCGUUGGAUUAGCUAGUUGGUAGGGUAAAAGCCUACCAAGGCGACGAUCCAUAGCUGGUCUGAGAGGAUGAUCAGCCACACUGGGACUGAGACACGGCCCAGACUCCUACGGGAGGCAGCAGUGGGGAAUAUUGGGCAAUGGGCGAAAGCCUGAUCCAGCAAUGCCGCGUGAGUGAUGAAGGCCUUAGGGUUGUAAAGCUCUUUUACCCGGGAUGAUAAUGACAGUACCGGGAGAAUAAGCUCCGGCUAACUCCGUG
rnacentral:rRNA from 1 species